rnacentral:rRNA from 1 species
AUGGUAUUCUCAGUUCAACUGUCUAUUCAACAAAUAAAUGGAAGUUUGAUCUAUCAAUAUCAAUGGUCUUGGACCGUUAAUAAUUAUUUUUCUUUAGAAUUUGGAUACUUGAUUGACCCACUUAUUUCUAUUAUGUUAAUACUAAUUACUAUUGUAGGAAUCCUGGUUAUUUAUAGUGAUGGUUAUAUGUCUCACAUUGAAGGAUACUUGAGAUUUUUUGUUUAUACAAGCUUUUUCAAUACUUCCAUGUUGGGAUUGGUUACUAGCUCCAAUUUGAUACAUUUUUUUGGAAACUCAUGGGAAUGUGUUCUUAUUUAUUGA